UACAUACUCCCUCCGUCUUAAAAUUCUUAUCUUAAAUUUGUCUACAUAAGGAUGUAUCUACAUCCUUAUGUAGACAAAUCUAAGAUAAGAAUUUUAGGACAGAGGGAGUAUGAU
rfam:Triticum aestivum genome assembly, contig: Triticum_aestivum_CS42_TGACv1_scaffold_222258_3B